rnacentral:rRNA from 1 species
AGAGUUUGAUCCUGGCUCAGGACGAACGCUGGCGGCGCGCCUAACACAUGCAAGUCGAACGGUGAACCGGGCUUCGGCCCGGGGAUCAGUGGCGAACGGGUGCGUAACACGUGGGCAACCUGCCCCCGACCCUGGGAUAACCCCGGGAAACCGGAGCUAAUACCGGAUACUCUCCGCCGACCGCAUGGUCGGAUGAGGAAAGGUCCGCCGGUCGGGGAUGGGCCCGCGGCCUAUCAGCUCGUUGGUGGGGUAACGGCCUACCAAGGCGACGACGGGUAGCUGGUCUGAGAGGACGACCAGCCACACUGGGACUGAGACACGGCCCAGACUCCUACGGGAGGCAGCAGUGGGGAAUCUUGCGCAAUGGGCGAAAGCCUGACGCAGCGACGCCGCGUGGGGGACGAAGGCCUUUCAGGUCGUAAACCCCUUUCGGCAGGGACGAAGCGAUCUCGUGACGGUACCUGCAGAAGAAGCCUCGGCUAACUACGUGCCAGCAGCCGCGGUAACACGUAGGAGGCGAGCGUUGUCCGGAAUCAUUGGGCGUAAAGAGCGCGCAGGCGGCCCGGCAAGUCGGGUGUGAAAUCCCGGGGCUCAACCCCGGGACUGCAUCCGAUACUGCCGGGCUAGAGGUAGGUAGGGGAGAUCGGAAUUCCUGGUGUAGCGGUGAAAUGCGCAGAUAUCAGGAGGAACACCGGUGGCGAAGGCGGAUCUCUGGGCCUUACCUGACGCUCAGGCGCGAAAGCUAGGGGAACGAACAGGAUUAGA